UACGAAGGGGCUAGCGUUGUUCGGAUUUACUGGGCGUAAAGGGCGCGUAGGCGGCGCAACAAGUCACUUGUGAAAUCUCCGGGCUUAACCCGGAGCGGCCAAGUGAUACUGUCGUGCUAGAGUGCGGAAGGGGCUACUGGAAUUCUCGGUGUAGCGGUGAAAUGCGUAGAUAUCGAGAGGAACACCUGCGGCGAAGGCGGGUAGCUGGGCCGGACACUGACGCUGAGGCGCGAAAGCCAGGGGAGCGAACGGG
rnacentral:rRNA from 1 species